GACAAUAUCCACACCCAACUAAAUCCUCAUCACAAUUAUUGAUACAUCAUUUUACAAAAAUGGUGAGGACUACUAAACAACUUUCUAGAACUAUCAUUCCAUACCUCGACUCUUACUCGCUGCAUUCUCGCCUCCUGAGAAGAAAAAUGGAACAAAGAGGGAAAGGGUGAGCUCAACUAGCCCAGUAAAGAAUAUUAUGACUAAGAUAAUAUAGAACAAAUUAUCGUUAGUCUUUAACAGGUAAAAAUCUGAUAAAAUAUAAUAGACAACAAGUUUCAGAUCAAUAUUCGCAGCGGAAAUAAUAAUUCAUAGAAGAGUUACGUAGAGAAUGAAAUCUACUAUUAUCUAUGAAUUUAAAAGUCCAUCAUCAAUAUUUUAUCCCUGUAGCAUCAAUCAAUAUUCAUCUUGAAUCAAAUUUUCAUCUUUGNNNNNNNNNNNNNNNNNNNNNNNNNNNNNNNNNNNNNNNNNNNNNNNNNNNNNNNNNNNNNNNNNNNNNNNNNNNNNNNNNNNNNNNNNNNNNNNNNNNNACCGUAUUCGUGAAUAGUACCGUAUACGUGAAUAGUGUCGUAUACGUGAAUAGUAACCCCAACACUAAAAGACAAGAAUUUCACAAGAAAAAUACUCUCAAUAUUCCGGCGUAAUGAUAUUGAAAGAAAUAAUAUCAUUUAAAAAAUAAUAAUAUCCCUUACCUCGAAAGUGCUUCUAGCUGGAAUACUAAGUAUAGUGCUGAAGGGAACUUGUACCGUAUAACAACACUCAAAGUAUCAAAAUACUCACAAGAAUACGCUCAAUAUAUCGAGAGAGAAAGAGAGAGAAAGAGAGAGAAGAUUUCAGUUUCUGGUGUGAUUUUCAAUUCUAACCUAAGCACCCUAUUUAUAGGAAAAUGCUUAGAACACCAAAGCAGAAAAUUUAAUAUAAUAAUAAUAUAAUGAAAAAAUAUUCAAGCCCACCUCUAGAAAUUUGAAUUCAGCAUGUUGCACAUGUUAGUUAGCCCACAAAACCAAAAAAAACGUUUUUCUUAAUAAACAUAAUUAAAACUUCCAAAAAUCAAUUAUUUCGAAACUACGGAACUUCAAUAAUUCAUAAUAAAUAGCCCUUUUAUCAGAAAAAUUCAAACCACAUGUCCUUUCCAUAGGAAAUUCCAUUCUCUACAACUUUGUAGAAGAAAGUUUUUCCAAAUUCUAAAUAGAAAUUGACCGAAAUCCACAAACGGACGAUUUUAUAGGCUAUAAUCAAAUUUCAGUCAAAAAAUGGGGUCUACGAACAUGAAAAACAUGUUUUAAAUAUUUUUAGUAACAAAAAUACUCCUCCUCCACAUAUACUCAUAUAUCCCACAUUCAUUGUAAAAAUAUCACCAUUAUUAUAUUAUUAAAAUAUAAUAAUAUAUUUAAAUGAAUUAUUUUAUCAGAAAAAGAUAAAAUUUCAAUUUUCAACAAUUGUCACAUUAAAAAUUUUCUCCAUCUAUAUCCACAUAAAAUCAAUAUUUUCCUCAUCAUAUGAAUCAAUAAUUAAUUAUUCACAAAUAAUAUUACAGAAUCACAAUAUUGACAACCAGGCAGUUCCCAGAAAAGAGGGGGCUUUCCAAUAAGAAUUUCUCCUUACUGGCGCGCAAUUAGGUGACCAAACCUCUCCUUAGACAGAACUUUCUAGACAUUGCCAAUAAUGUUAUCCAAUAAUAUUAUUCAGAUAAUAUGAAUUAUUGCUUCGAUAAUCGAAAAUAUUGUGUAGUGACAAUUAUUGAAACAACAAUAAUAUAAAAUAUCAACACAGCAAUUAUUGAAUCAAUAAAAUAAAAUACUGAACAGUAAUUACUGUAAUAAUUAUUGAGUAGUGUCUUCUUACGUAAGAAUCAAUAAUUGAUGCAAUACCGUGUGCUACUGUGUUUUAACCACCGAGUAUUUCAACAGUAUUAACGGUAACAACUACGCCGUCAUUUAUAAACAACUUAUAUUUGUCGUUUUCUUCAUCCAAUCGUUUUCUGUUAUGGGGCCCACACAAGACUGCGACGUUGUACGAAUAUUCCCCGACAGCAAGAAUAUUCCACGACCAAACGAAUAUUCCACGACAACAAUGAAUAUUUUAUAACCACUUGUUUAUUUAAGAUAUUUGCGCAUUUUACCCAUAACUAACCACAUUAAUCAAAUUAACCCUUACUAUUUCAAAAUAAUAAAUAGAGGAAAUUUAAUUUUAUUUAAUAACAAGUUGGGGUCUUACAUUAUAUCUGGCUACCAACUCUGCUUCGACGAAUUCGAGUCAGCUGAUCCACAGUUCCACAAGAUUCUGACUCUUCUGAAGAAAGUUGGUCUUGAAGAAGCUCUGAGUACCAGCACAAGGAUCUACCCGAAGCUGGUGAAAGAUUUCUACAGCAAUGGAGUCUUUGAAGAUAACAUUAUCACUACAAAAGUCAAGGGGGAGCAGAUUAGACUCAAAGUUGAAGAUAUAAACCUAGCCCUAGGUUUUAAAUCAAAGGGACUCUCAUCUAUGAGUGUCAUCGACUUCCAUAAAGGUCUAAAGAAGAUGCACCACACGAAGUCUCAGAGUGUCAAGGGGUACAAGAAGAAAGAGUUUCCCCAGAAAUAUGAAUUUCUGGCUGACAUUGUUGGAAAGUGCAUCUGCUGUAAAAUCUCUGGCCAUGACCCUGUGAAUGAGGUCUAACUAAAGCUCAUGACAUCAAUCUGCUUCAGAAUUCAACUCAACUAUGGGGCUCUGCUCAUAGAUUUGAUUGGGGAGUGGAUGCUCAACUCAAAGAAAACAAAGAGCUCUGAAAAAAUGCUCUAUGGGAGGUACAUAAAUAUAAUCCUGCAAUCUACUUUGGGUGAAAAAAUUGGGGACAAAGAAGGAGAACCCAUCAAUCCAAACAAAAGAAUGACCCAGCAGUUGUUUCAAAACUGGAAAAGAAACCCUACAGAAAGCGUAAGGAUGAUGUCUGAAUCCAGUGGAAGGACUGGUGAAGCAAAGAUAUUUGGGCUACUAGGAAACAUGUCAGUUGUGAAAGUGAAAAAGAAGAAGACAAUCAAAAGGAACCCAUUGCUUCGACCAAAAAAAGCAAAGGUAUGAGGAAAUUGAAUGUUCAAGUAACAAAAGAGCCUCAAGGAUCAACCACUAAUGUGCCCCAAGAAAGUUCGAGCACUGAAAUUCUGAAGGAAAUGAAGAAGAAAAGCAGCAAUCUAAAGAGGAAGAAGACAGAGCCACCAUCUCUCAACUUCUUAAGAAGGGAAAAUGCAGCCACAAAAUAAAGAAGUCUUAACUCACCUUGAUCGUAGAGUCAUUACCAAUCGUAGAGUCCAGAAUUAUAAUCACUCCAGAGGUGGAUGCUGCAGCAGUAUCUCAACCCAAACCAACUGACAGAGUUGAAGCUGAAGAGAAUGCCAAGGCUGAGGCUCAAACCAGAAGGACAAAAAGAAAGCUUGUAAUGAAAUACAUUCUUGUCAAUGAAGAAGUCCUGAAGGAAGAAGAUAGAAGAAUAACUGUUGAACAAGUGCUUCCAGAAGCCUUUGAGGAGAAUAUAGCUCAUAUUGAGGGGGAGCUGCCUAAAGAACAAAUGAAUGAUCAUAUCAGAUUAAGGGGGAGCCUCUCGAAGUCCCUGUGCCAGAAAGUGCUACAGCUGAGGGGGAGAUGCAAGAAGAUGUGGUAAUGGAAGGUGUGGAAGCUAUGGAGGUAGAAAGGGCUAAAGAACAGGUAAGAAAUGAAGAAAUGUUUGAAGUGGUGGAAAUUUCCAAUGAAGAAAAUGAAGACAAAGAAGAUGAAGAGAUUGAUGAAGUUGAGAUAAUAGCAGUAGGCUAGGAUGGAUAUAGGAAAGCCAACUAUAAUCAUCUGUUCUCCUACUUACCAAUGAUGCCCUAUCAUAGAGCCCAAAUUCUCAACUCCUGGUAUCACAUGUUCUGGACCUUCAAAGCUUAUCCAGCAAUCUCAGUUCUAGCUCAUGAAUUUCCAAGCAACCUCACUUUUGCUCAAAAGAUGAUCACUAACCAUCAUUCUUCAAAAACUGGGCGUGAGGUAUAAUCAAUUCCCAUCUCUUUCAGAGUUAGUCACUGUCCUCCAUCAAACUUCAACCAAUUCUAUGAAUUGCCAAGAUGGUUGGAAGUGAUUCUUCAUCCCCUAAACCAAUUUCCAGCUACAGAAUCCUAAAAUUUUGUAACUAAUGAACCAAAUAUGCCUAACUUCAUAUUAAUAUAGUCUUCAACCAUUUCUUACUCUACGAAUAUCGAUCAUACUCAAAUCGUAGAGUCACCUACCCAACCAGCUUCAACAGCCUCUCCUCACAUAACUCAAACCCCCCAUACAUGCACCUCCUUUGAACAUUCCUUCCUCCUCAACCAAUAAUUAUUUUGAUCUUGCUCUUGUUCUCUCAAACCUGCAAAACCAAAAUACAAGAGCCUCUUCUCCAUGCACUCAACAAAUACUUGAGCUUCUCUCAGAUAUUCCCACCAAAUCUGAGCUGUCUAGUGCAUCACAGAAAGUAACUACAGAUAUUCAAGAAGAUCUUGAAACUCACUCUCUGCUUGUUCAUACAGAACCAAUGAUAGAUGCUGCCAACACUCUUCCCAGCAAUCUGAGUUCUGAGCUCACAAAUAAGCUUAGGGAGAUCAUCAAGGAAAUGAUCCACAACAUAAAUGAAAGGGAUCAAAUUCACUUUCAAUCUGCCCGGAAGCACAAGGAAGAAUUUAUCCUUCUACAGCAGACUCAGGAAACUCAAAACAAACUUGUUAUGGAAAGCCUGUCAAGCCUACGAUCUUCCAUUAAAGAAUUCUAAGAAUACUCUAUAAGUUAAAUAUAACAAACAGACACUAUCUUGGCCAUUCUACAAAAGCACAAGUCUCAAACUGAUUCUCUGGUUCAAGAAAAUCGUAAAGACAUUGCUCAAUCCAGGAAUCAGCUCCACGAACUUGUCCAAGGCAUGAAUCGUCUGUCAGAAGACAUUCGAACCCUUGAUGCUAAAAUAAAGGGGGAGAAUAAAGGGGAAGGAGAGAAAGGCAAAAGAAGAGGAAAACAAAUUGCUCAAUCUUCAAGGAGUCCUCCCACAAGACGGUCUCACUAUCAAACUCCAAGACCUGAAUAGCAGCAACACCAACCAAUUCUCAUGGCACAACCGCUAAGGAGUCAAGGGCCAUCUCCUAGCUCACAAGGGGUAACAACUACUGGCUUAAACAUGUCGAUUGGAGAUCUUGCCUUUAUGAAUAGACAUGAUAUUGGAGAAAGGCUAAGUCAAAGUGAGAUGGGAGAUAUUGUGUGGAGAGACGAAGCCAGCUGGAGAAUGAGAGCUGUAGAAUAUGCCAAUCCUCCAAGGGACAAGAGGCAGAAGAAAUAGAGAUAAGUUGAAAAUUAUUUCUGAUUGAUGUAACUAUGCUUUAUUGUAAUAUCUGCUUUUAGAAACAUCAAUAAAUUCAUGAUUAUUCUCUAGAGAUUUCAGCUGCUCACUGAAACACCAAGUCAUAUUUACUUUCUAGCAUCCUGCAUUUAGAAAUUGAUGAUUAUGAUACAAAUCUCCUGGGUUAUGUCAACAUCAAAUAGGGGAAGAUUUUUGGAAAUUGCAUAUUAAAAUUUGAUGUUGAAAGUAAAUAAACAUGUUUAUAUGUAAAGUCCUUCAAGGAACACAUGUACAAGGACUUUGUGAUAGAUCAAAAAAUUGUUAGGUUUGAUCUGUGCUUAAUGGUUAUCAUUCUGUAAAUGAAUGUGUAGAAGAAAAGAUCAAAACUAUUAGGUUGAUCUUGUUUGAGAUGUAAUAGAUAGGCAUCAACAGGAUCAUAGUUUGUUGAGCCAGUCAAGAGUUUGCAGAAGCCAAGGCAGAAUCUUAGAGUAUCGAGAAAGUUGCUAAAGAAUCGUAGUCUACUUUGAAGAGCCUCUCUCUGAAUCGUAGAGUUAGUCCAAGCGCUUGCCAAGCCAAGUCAAGAAUCGUAGUCUGCUCUCGGAAGUGUAGAAUCUGCAAAACAAGCAAGUAAAGAUCGUAGUCCACCUGUGCUUAAGAGAAAUCGUAGUGUUCUCUUUAUCAGGCUGAAUCAAGCAUGAAUAUAUAUGACAAGACACCACGAUCAUGAUCGUAGUGUAUCUCCUGUCAGCAUCAGAAGCAUCAAGCCUUGUCCAUUUGUUGAAAAAUAAAAUAUAACAAAUGAGGAAUGAAUUAUAGACGUUGAGGCUUUCGGGAAUCCCAAUGACCCAACACUCAUCCUUAGUAUAUAUCGAAGAAACGUAUUGAAGAAGCUAAGGAAAUUACUACAUACCUGUUGAAAACACCUUUUCAGGUGUUAGGUGAGAUAGUGUUGUGUCAGAGGGUCAGACGACUGAACAUAAAAUUUCAAGAAAGUCACCAUCGGUGCUUAGAAAUGUCUGAUGCAUUUAAUGCUUCAAUGGAUGCCUUCAAAUGGACAUAUUUUAAAGGCUCCUUUAUAUAUACAAAUCAAACACAGAUGUAAAAUGCAAGCAAGUACACAACAAAAAGCUGAAGAACACUCAAAGCUAAACUCUACGAUCUAGAAAGAAAGCUUGCUCAGCUGCUCAGUUCUUUCGAACAUAUGCUUAAUAGCAACUGAGUAGCACAACCCAAGAACUCAACUCUCAUAAAGUGAACUAAGAAGUUCAAAAUUUGAUGGACUUGAAGAGUUCUAAGUGAACUAAGAAGUUCCAAGACUGUUGGUCUUGAACGAAUCUGAGUGAUUCAAAGAUUGUAAAGACAUCUUUAGUGAAUUUUCUACUCGAGGGGUAGAAGAGUGGACUAGGAGCCUUGAGUGCUCUGAACCACUUAAAAUCACUUUGUCUUUUAUAUUCUUGUUAUAACUGUUAUAUCUAUCAUAAAUGCUUACCUAUUAACUUGGUUUAUUUUAAAGGGGAACACACAAAUCAUAUAUUCCGCUGUGGUUAAUUUAUUAACAAAUCUGACAAAGUAUUUUAAAAAAGAAAAUUUUAAAAUAUCUAUUCAACCCCCCUUCUAGAUAGCUAUAGUGUAUUUGGGAACUAACAAAUAUGUUAAUAAAAUAAAACAAAAUAAAACUUAGACCAUUUAAUUGAAGUUUUAAGUAAGCAGCCUGUCAACAUUUAUGAUAAGUAAUACAUUCUAAUAUAAAUUCACCAUAUCUGAACAUUAUCAUAGAGUUCAAACAAUGAGACAACAAGAAGUAUUAACUUUCUCAUCUCACCUUUGCUGGAAAAGAGGUGUCAAGUAUUCCAUUAAUAUUAAUAAUUGAUGUCAAGAGAUUAAGCUAAAUAAAAGCAGUCUGCCAAUACAACGUAACGACUGCUUGACCCCAUUGUAGCAUUACUUCAAUUGUUACAGACUAAUCCCAUCAAUGCAAUAAUGAGUGAAAAACUUUGAAACAUAACAAACAACAAAAGCAUUUCCUAAAUUCAAUAUAACGUGUACACAUUAUGGGGUAACAAAGCUUUGAAACAUAACAACCAACAAUAAAGCAUUAAGAACCUACUGAGUAAUUAGAGACAACCACAACCUUGAGUCCAGUCUGAUAAGAAAAUUUCUUUGCCUCCUCAUGUAUGUACCCAAAAAGACAAAAGAAAUCAAUCAACUAUAAUAAACUAUAAGCAAAACACACAAACCAAAAUGCGAUUAUAACAUAUUCUACCUGACAAAAUAAUUCUCAAGUUGGAGACAAUAUAAGAGCAAGUGGGUAAGAUAAUUUAAUUUGGCUACUCGGCACCGGUGACAAAUCCUGUCUCAGAAUCCCACUAAUGAUCGAAAAAUAAAACGCUGCUGUUUUACUAAACUCAGUUUGAGCACAAGCCAUGAACCCCCAAUUACAAUCAUUCUCACAUCAACAGACCUCCUCAAUUUGUAAUUUUUAAUAUAUAACAUAAGGAAAUUUAGAAAUGACUUAUCAAAGUAAUUAAAUCAAACUAAUUACUAUAUUUCACAUUAUAUAAAUCAAUCUAAUUUCAUCAUUUUCAUGCUUUCUAACAAAUCAAUUUAGUAACAAAUUUUCAUGCUUUCUAACAAAUCAAUUUAGUAAGUUGUGUUUGUGGAUCAACCUAUAAAACAAUAUCGUGUGAUUAGUUUACUUGUCCAUCUUAGCCUCAAACAAAAAAGGAACGUCCAUAACAAAAGUGCGAGUAGCCUUCAAGUAUGCAAUUGUCAAAAUUCAAGACUUUAAAGUAUAUAUAUUGGCCACAUGUUAUUGGUUGCAAUUCUCAGUUAGGGGUUAGUUGAAGUAAGCACUAUAUAUACUGGAAGGGAAUAUAUGCAUACAUCAUACAUACAAAGUAAGAUAUUUUUUGGCUAUCCAUUAAAAAGCGGCUUCCGCAUUGAAUCCCUCUUUUCUAGAGGUCUCAAAGUAAGGUAUGUUUCCCUUGGAGGCACACCAUGCCCUUGCUUUCUUCUCAAAAACCUAUUUUUAGAAGAGAAGACACAUGCACCCAAUAACUACUAAGAACUGACAGAGCAUCAUACGAGGAAGCUAAAGCAAGUUGAAAUGAAGAAAUAUCAAUUCACCACUUGACUAUUGUCACCAUCAACAUCUAUUUUGUUCCCCAACACAAUAAAUGAAAAAAUUUCAUGUUCAGCAUGGCUGACCUGAAAUUCUAAUAGCAAUUACUCUUCAAGAAUCAAACAUCUAGCCACAUAAUUUAUAUAAAGAUCUCAUCUUGUGUGUAUAAACAUACACACUCAAUAUGUCAAAGUUCAUGACCUUAAUAUUAUCAAAUAUAAUAAUAAUAAUAAUGCUCCCUAAACAUGAAUUAAGUUUAUUAGGAAAUUUUCAAAAAAAGUGUCCACUUAUGAAAUUAGAGUACCAAAUUCGCUAGAUAUCUUGGUCAUUAAUCAUGUAUGUAUAUAACAUGAAUAAGCAACUCCAUAAACAGUUGAAUUGAAAAAAUUGUAGGAAAAUAUGAAGUUUAAUAGCUUAGAAAUACUUAAAACAUAACCUAGCAAAGAAAAAUAAAAACAAAAUUAAAUCAAAAAUUAGGGUUUGAAAAAUGAAUUUACCUCCUCAAUAAAAUGUUCAGAUGAGUAUCAUGAAAUCCAAAAUGAUUUGCAUAAUCAAUAGAGAGUAUUUAUCUAAAAUGAUUUGUUCCUCUAUUGUAACUUUAAAUACUCAAAUUGAAAACUAACCUUUAAUUAGAUGUAACGUACAAUCCCAAUGGAGGAAAAGGUGAACAAAUCAACCGCCGUCAUCGCCAAAAAAUAAUGUUACCUUCGAAAAUUAGGGUUUUGUAUUUCAAAAUUAGGGAUAAAGUGAGAGAAUAGAUAAGAGGGGAAAGAAAGAGGAGAGGGAUGAGGAGGAAGAGGGUUGUGAGUGAGUGGAGAGGCAGAUGGGAGGAAGAGAGCGAUGGAAUUCUGCGUUAGUUUUCUUUUUCUUUUAAUCGUUCCUGCUCCUGAGUAAUUAAAAAUGUACUUUUAAUAAUACCAACGAAAAU
rnacentral:lncRNA from 1 species